AGCAGUGAAUUGCCAAGUGUGAACCUGCCUUAACUUUAUCCAUGUAGUGGAAUGCUGUUCAUUAUUUCUCAGCAUUUUAUGUGUAUCUCUGAUGAUCUUUUUUACAUGUUUCUCAAACUGUUGACUAUCCUUUCUCUUCCUGUACUUUUAUUAUUUCUUCAUUUCCCAUUUUAUACAUCCAUUUUGGUCUCUUUUCGCUUUUUUCCCAUUUCCAUUACAUGACAUUUUUUCACAUUAAAUUUCAUCUCCCAUUACUUACUCCAGUCCCAGAUUUUAUUCAAGUCCUCUUGUAGAAUUUCAGUCUUUGUUGUUUCUUAUAUGUCUUUGUAAUUUUGCAUCAUUGGCAAACAAACUCAUGUAACUCUUUACUCCUUCAGGCACAUCAUUUAUGUAGAUCAGGAAAAGUAUUGGUGCCAGCACUGAUCCUUGUUGUGCUCCACUAUCUACUUUUCUCCAUUUUGAUUUCACAUCUUUUACUACCAUUCUUGUUUCUCUUCCCUUUAAGUAACUUCCCAUCCAGUUUUUUUUUUAUUUUUCCAUUUAAUCCUCCUGUAUUUUCUAACUUCCAUAGUAACCAAUUGUGGGGAACUUUGUCAAAAACUUUUUUUUUUAUCUGAAUACACACAGUUUACCCAUCCAUCCCUAUGUUAUAUCAGUCACUCUUGAAUAGAAGGUCAUCAAAUUUGUUGCAUAUGAUUGCUUUUGUCUAAAAACAUACUGUUUUUCUGUUGUUAUAUCAUGUUUUUCUAGAAAGUUUGUCCACUGCCUCUUUAUCACUUUUUCACAGAUCUUACAUACUAUGCUUGUCAUCAAUACUGGUCUAUAGUUUAGUGGUUCUUCUUUCUUUCCAUUUUAUAAAUUGACACUAUGUUUGCUCUCUUCCAGUCCUUGGGCACUCUUCCAAUUGAUAAUGAACACUUUAUUAUAUCAUAUACUGGUUUGAUUAAUUGUUUCCUGCACUCUUUUAAAAUGAAACCUGCUACUCCAUCUGGUCCUGUUGCUUUUCUUCCUUUCAGUUCCUCCAUCAUUUUAUGAACUUCUUUGAUUACUGUAAUUUCCCACAUUUUCUUUUUUGUUCUUCUCAUCUUGUGGUUCUUUAAAUUCUGAUUCUUCUGUGAAAAAUUUGCUGAAACUUUUUUGUUUUGCAAUUCACUCUUGUCUUUUGGGUCUUCAUAUGUUUCAUUUCCAUCCUUCAAUCUUUCUACGUUUUCUUUUUGUUUAAUUUUUCCAUUUAUGAAUUUGUAGAAUAGUUUUGGUUCAUCCUUGCACUUUUCAACUAUAUCUUUUCAUAUCCUUUCUCUUCCUCUCUCCUUAUUUUCAAAUAUUAAUUUCUUGCUAUCAUAAAAUCUUUAUUUUUUGGUUUGGAUUUCAUUUGAUUUCUAUCUUUUUUUUUUUGGCACAUUUUGCACUGAACCUCACCUGUUUUCCUUUACCUUUAGGUUUAUAUAGUGGGACCUACUUAUUCACUCCUGUCUUAUAUAGUUCCAUAAAAAUGUCAUAUUUAUUAAUUUGCCCUUUUCAGCUUUUCCUAGUGCAUUUCUUCCUAAAGUUUCUUAAGAUCAUCUAUAUUUGCUUUCCCAUAGUUUCUCCCGUUUUCUUUGCAUGAUUCAUCCUCUUCACUGACAUCAUUAUCAGUCUCAAUUUCUAUCAUUACUUGGUCACUUUUUCCCAUGGGGCACACAUAUCUUAAUUCUUUAGUUAAGUUGAUUCCUUUUGUUAAUAUUAGGUAAAGUCUUGUUGGUUCAUCAUCUCCCGUAUAUCUUGUAUUUUCAGUCACCCAUUGCAUCAUUGUGUUUUCCAUAGCUUCAGAAAUCUUUCUCCCCAUGCAGUCUCAUUUCCUCCUCUGUGUGUGUGUGUGUGUGUGUGUGUGUGUGUGUGUGUGUGUGUGUGUGUGUGUGUGUAUUUACCUAGUUGUGGUUUAUGGGAGGGGAGUAAUCUCAUAGUAUCCCAUCUCUAUAUCUAUCCAGUUUGGUCUUAAAAGCACUGACAGUUACAGAAUUGACAAUGUCUUCACUGAGUUCAUUCCAUUUCUUCACACUUCUGUGAGGAAAAGAUAUCUUUUGAUAUCUCUUCUACAGUUAACUUUCUUCAACUUCUUACUGUGUCCCCUUGUACUCUGUGUAUCUAAAUUUAUAAAACAUUCUUUGUUCACUUUUUCCAUACCAUUUAUCAUUCUAUAGAUGUUUAUUAAAUCCCCUCUCUCUCUUUCUCUCGUAUUUUCAAGGCGUAGGAGUUUCCAACAUUCUUAAUCUCUUCAUAGGUUGACUUAACUACGGAACCAUCUUUGUACUCUUUCUAAUUUUAUAAUAUUCCUCUUUAUAUGAGGAGACCACACCACUGCCGCAUAUUCCAGUCUUAGUCUUAUCAUGGAAAUCAACAACUUUUUUUAUCAUUCCUUCAUCUAAAUAAUUAUGUGAAUGCCAUUCUUAUUCUUUUUAACAAAUUCAUCAUCCCUCCAGUAAAUUUAUCAAUGUGUCUGUCCAGAACCAAGUUCUCAGUAACUGUUACUCCCAGAUCCACUUCCUUUUUUGAUUUCUGUAACUUCACACUACCCAUCUCGUAAUAAUAUUGUAUUCUUUUCUUUCUCUUAUCAACUCCAUUACUUUACAUUUACUUAAAUUGAAUUCCAUUUGCCAAGAUUUACUCCAUCUAUUUAUCUUAUUUAAAUCAUCUUGCAGUACCAUACAGUCAUUUACAUUUUCUACCCUUCUCAUCAGCUUGGCAUCAUCUGCAAAUAAAUUCAUAUAACUGUCUAUUUCUUCAUUUAUAUCAUUCACAUAUAUUACAAACAUUAUUGAUCCCAACACUGACCCCUGUGGGACACCACUAGUUGCUUUCAGCCAGGAUGAAUUCUGGUCUUGUAUUACAGUUCUCAUCUUUCUAUCAUCCAGAUAGUCAUCCAUCCACUCCAGCAGUCUUCCUCCAAUUUUUCCAUAAUUUUAUAUCUUCCAUAGCAAUCUUCGGUAUGGUACUUUGUCAGACAGUAUCUUCAAGUUUAAAUAGACACCAUCCACCCAUCUGUCUCUCUCCUGCACAAUAUUGAUUACCCUUGAAUAAAAGUACAAUAAGUUUAUGGAGUAUUAUCUUCCCCUCCUAAAUCCAAAUUGACAAUUUACCAAAACUUUAUUUUUUUUCCAAGUGUUCCAUCCAUCUUUCCUUUAUUGUUCUUUCACAUAUUUUUCCUACAAAACUAGUCAAAGACACUGGUCCAUAAUUUAAUGGGUUUUCCUUAUUUCCUCCUUUGAAUAUUGGUGUAAUAUUUGCUCUGUUCCAGUCUUUUGGUACUCUUUCCUGUGAUAGUGAUGUUACCACUAGAUUGUGAAUUUUAUCAUACCAUCAAUAUCCAGUUUGAUACUCCAUCUGGACCAGUUGCUUUAUUUACUUCAAAUUCUUCCAUCAUCUUAAGUAUUUUCUCAUAAUUGACUGGGACUGUACUUAGUAUAUUCCUCACCAACUUAUCCCUUCCAGUAUCAAACUCCCCUUCCACAGUAAAUACUGAUCUGAAACUAUUGUUCAUAACCUCCUCCAUCCUCAUAGAUUUUUCCUUCAGCUUUCAAUCUUGAUACACCUUCCUUCUUCAUCUUCCCAUUAAUAUGUCUAAAGAACAGUUUGGGUUCAUUUAUACACUUAUCUAUUAUAUCUCUUUCAUAGUUUCUUCUCUCCAUUCUUAUUAUCUCAAUGUACUUAUUUCUAGCAUUAAUGUAUUCCAUCUGCUCUCAGUUUUUCUCUUCUUCCAUCUGUUCCAAGCAUUUAGCUUACAAUUUCUAGCCUCUAUGCAUUUUGUAUUGAACCAUUCUUUACCCUUUCUACAUCUUACUCCUCCUCUAGGUACAAAUUUCUCCAUAGCAGAAUUAUAUACCCUUAUUAAUUAAUCCCAUUUUUUUCCGAACAACUUUUGUGUCUUCAAAGUGUUUCCAAUCCACAGCAACUAAGUAUUUUCUUAAUUUUUCAAAGUCAGCUUUACUAUAUUUAAAUCUUUUUACCUUGUAAUUUUCAUCAAUUAUUACAUUUUCACUUUUCAAGUUAAAUUCCAUCAACACAUGAUCAUUUUUACCUAAAGGGCUAUCAUAGUGUAUAGUUUCAAUAAUUUCCAUGUCCUUGGUAAAACACUAGAUCAAGUCUUGAUGGUUUAUCUCAUCCACCAAAUCUGGUAUCACAAUCAACCCAAUGAGUCAUUAAGUUUUCCACUGCCCAGUUUAACAGUCUAUUACUCCAUGAAUUUUCACUUCCAGUAGUUGUCAAUGUCUCCCAAUUUAUCUCCUUACAGUUAUAAUCACCAACACUAACUAUAUCACUACUUUCCAUCACUAUCUUUUCAAGAUCUUUUAACACAUCUACCAACAUCUCUUCUUGUUCUUUUUACCAAGCAUUGGUCAUAGGUGGCACAUACAUUCCUACAUAAUUCAUUAUCUUUCCAUUUCCACUUGUAAUCAUCACUUGUAGAAUUUCAGACUUGUCUUCACUUUUUAUUACCCUUUCCUUUCCAUUUUAACACAUUUUUUAGUUAGAAUGAUCACUCCCCCUCCCCUUGUCACUUCUAUUUUUCAUCCAUAAAUCAUAUUUAUCAUCACCAAUGUCAGGAGUUCCCCAUUCAUUUUUCCAUUUUGCCUCAUAAUACAGCAACAUCCAGUACAGUUCUGUUUAAUAACUCAUUUAACUCCAUCUUUGUUGACAUUAAUCCAUUUACAUUAGUAUAACAUACUUUACUUACUGUUUGAUGUACCAUUUCUUUAUUCUUAUAUCUCUCUCUCUCUCCAGAAAACUUCUCCUCCUCCGUUCAUUGUUAAUAUUUUUGUUUAGCCUCAUUUACCAGCUCCUUUUGCCUCAACCUUUCAGUCUCAUCCAUAUCCUUUUUUAUCCAUAAAUUCCUAUAUUCUUCAUCUCCAGAUGACCUCCAAGACCCAUUAAUUACUACUUCUGCUUGUGCCUGUGUUGCAAACCUUAUUCUUAUGGGUCUCAUUUUUUCUUCUUCAUAUUUCCCAAUUCUAUGGAACUCUUCCACUUGCUUUACUAUCUGACUGUCCUCAUCCAUCACUUUCUUCAGUAACUUAUUGAACAGGUUCUUUUCCUUUUUUCUCUUUGAAUUCUGCCUACUAUUUUCUCUUCCUUUAUACCAAAUAAUUGCUUGUUUAUAUUUUUCUACAGUAUCUCUCACCAAUUUUUUCUCUUCUUUAAUAACAUUUACCACUUUCUGUCUCAGGUUUUGUUUGUCACUUUCUUGUUCUAUUAUUUUCUUUUGUGAUUCUUGAAAUUUACAUUCAUUUAACCACGUAUUUGGCAUCAUUUCCACUUCCUUUACACUUGCCUUCAUUUCCUCAUUUCCUUUUUGAACAGUUUCAACUUUUUCCUUUAUUUGCUUCUUUAAACAGUCAUUUUCCACCUUUAACUUCUCAUUUUUAUCUUCCAUUUUCAUCAACUUUGCUGUAAUAGUCACCAACUCCUUACCUUUCUCCUGGUGUGCCUCCAGUGUCUUUAUUCUCUCCAAUGACUUGUCCAUCAUAUCUUCCAUUUACCAAAUUUUUCUACACUACAUUCUAUAUAUUAGUUCUCUUUCUUCACCUGUAAAUCUUUUUUUACCAGUAAAUCUUUCUUCAUCAGUAAAACCUUCAAAGGACCCCCAUUCUUUUAGGGUGCUGCUCUCCGCCAUUUUUUUUCCUCUAGAGAUGGGAUAACUAUACUCGUGUACUGUUUCUCCCCUCCCUACUUACCACUAGAUAUUCCUGUGUCUUCACAACAUAUCUUGUUCCACCGUGAGCAAUUUGUGUUUUUCAAACAUUCUAUAUGCAAAGCACUAGGAAACACGUCCUGUCAGUUCUGCCAUCUCCGUGUGUGUGUGUGUGUGUGUGUUUACCUAAUUGUAUUUACCUAGUUGUAGUUUAUGGGAGGGGAGUAAUCUCAUAGUAUCCCGUCUCUAUAUCUAUCCAGUUUGGUCUUAAAAGCAUGGACAGUUAUGGCAUUGACAACAUCUUCUGUGAGGAAAACUAUACUUCUUGAUGUCUCUUCUACAGUUAACUUUCUUCAACUUCUUACUGUGUCUCCUUGUACUCUGAGUGUCUAAAGUUAUAAAACCUUCUUUGUCCACAUUUUCCAUACCAUUGUGUGUGUGUGUGUGUGUGUGUGUGUGUGUGUGUUUAACCAGCGCUGAUCAAAAAAGUUGUUUUCCUCUGAUUUUUAUUUCUGGUCCAAAUUUCACACUAGCUGUGACUUCAAAAGGAGAAGGAAAUGGAAGUUGUGUCACGAAAUAUAAACAUAACACAAUAAUGAUGAAAGGAAAGUGGAAGUGUUGCAAAAAGCUGGACUGUGGUGUUUGUGUCUAUCACCUGUGUGAAGCUUAUGGCACAAGAUCAUCAGUUGGGUAUGAUGUAGACGAGCAGCAGGAAAAGUUGAAGCAGCUCUUUGCUGACAAUGAUUCAAAGAAACAUAUGCAUACAAAAACAAUGAAAGACAAAAAGAUUACAGAUCAUGAUUGAGUAAUGACAGUGAUGGCGUGGAUAUAUCUGAUUUGAUGAUGAAUAAGUUAAGGGAUUUUAUAGAGUUUGGUGUAGAACAUCACUGAGUGUACUCAGGGAUAUUUGCAGAGAUUCCAGAAGUGCCAAGGUAUUUCAUUGCUUGAGGUUUGUGGAGGAAAAUAAUUGGUGAUUGAGGAGAAUACAUCAGCAAAUUCAUCAGGCUUGUUUCACAUUUCCUGUAUGCUUGUGUUUAAUUUACAUUUAGCUGUUUCAUUUUAUUUGAAAACAUUCUUUGGCACACCAUUUAGGUCUUUUCAGAUGUAUUGGGAAGUGUAUUAGAGGUGUCAAUGGAUAAAUUUUGGUUAAUCUGGGAAAACAGCUAAUUCAGGAUGGUUCUGGAACCAAGUCUCGCGGUCCCCAGGUGCUUCACACGCAGUCUCAGGACAGCUGCGUUUUGGAGGCAAGAGCCUGCCACUUCAGGAUUAUAUCAAGAUCCUGGGCGUGUCUGUGGACCGCGGCCUACGCUUCGAUCACCACAUCAGUGUCGUCGCCCGCCAGACCUCUCUCCGAGUCUCUGCCCUGCGUAGGAUGGCGAACACCCUCGACCCACGGGGCAUCCUCACGCUAUACAGGGCACAGAUACGCCCAUGUAUGGAGUACGGUGCCCUGUCCUGGAUGUCGAGCGCCGCCACCCACAUGCAGAGACUGGAUGCUGUGCAGCGGCGAGCCCUGCGCUUGGUGGCCACCGAUGAGGACCAACAGCACCCACCACCAGUAACGUCACUGGAGCACCGCCGGGACGUGUCGGCACUAGUGGUGUGCCACAAAACUCAGGUGCAGAGGGUCCCUCACCUUGACCCCCUGAGGCUGCUGCCACACACAGUACAGAGGUGCACCAGAGUUGCAGCCAGUAGCGACGAGCUAGUGAAGGUGCCUCGAUCUCGCUCUAGCCAACACCAGCGCACCUACACAGCCAGGACUUCGCGGCUGUGGAACAUGUUCACGGCGGCCACGCCCCAAGUGCAGGACAUGUCCACGCACCAGGUGAAGCUGGCAGCCCACAGCUGGCGUAGCACGCACCUGUCCCCACUGGCGCUUUAAAUUUUUAUUAUUUUAUUGUAUUAACAUUAUAAUCUUUAUGUUAAGCAUGUAUAGUGUUGUUCCUGUAAAAAUACUAUCAUAGGCUUUUUAAAUAAUUCCACACUCAACGUGGAAUUUUAAGCCUUUCUGUAAAUAUUUGUUUAAAAAAAAAAAAAAAAGUAUGCUGAAGUAUUGAUGCUUAAUCUGUAUAUGUAAUAGUAGUAGUAGUAGUAGUGUCAUUAUUAUUAUUAUUAUUGUUAACAUUAUUUUAUCUAUUAUCUGUUCAUUCAUAUAUCUAAUGCUGGUUUUUAAGAGUUCCAUUUAAAAGAGGUAUCUUAUUGCAUUUUCUUGUCCUUCCAUUCCUUUUUUUGCAUUCUUUAGUCUCUCUCUCUCUCUCUCUCUCUCUCUCUCUCUCUCUCUCUCUCUCUCUCUCUCUCUCUCUCUCUCUCUCUCUCUCUCUUAUAUUCACUGCAUCUAUCAUGGUUGCAUAUUGUUUCUUUGUAUUUAUUUUUUUCUUUUUGUAUUGCAUUUUUUCUCAAUCACAACAGCCAGAGUAUCCCUUGAUAAUCAAUCCCAAGAGUUAUCUGCAAAAAUACCCCAAAGAACAGCUGGUCUAUUUAACACCUCACUGUCAAGAGGAGCUGCUGGUGUAUGACCACAAUGCUGUUUACAUUAUUGGUGGUGUAACGCUCCUUUUUAUUAUUUCUGUGUUUCUUUGAGUCUCCCCAAUAAUUGUUUUCUUUUGUAGCUUGCGGUGAAGAGGAGGAUAAUAGCGGUAAUUAAAGGUUUAGUGAUUAUAUGAAAAAGUAUAUUUAUAAGGCGUGUAUUCGUGGGAGUGAUUUAAAAGUCUUGAAACAUUUGUUAUAAAUAGUCUUUACUUAUUUCAACUGUGGUUUUCUCUAAUCAGUGGUAAUACGAAUAAUAGGAUUACAUCAUGUUGCGUCAGCCUACCAGUAACUCAUAAGGUGUCAUUCCCUAGCUUAUAAAAUAUGUUAGUAAUUUAAAAUUCAAUUAUUAACUUCAACUAAUGUCCAGCCUAUAUGCUCACCUUGCUAGCCAAUUAUUCCUGCAUUUUUAUUUAAACUCACGGUUCAGUAAAAUUAUUUGUGAAAGAAGAGAGAGAGAGAACUAGCUAAGGUUCCAAUAACUUCAGAGGCCUGGGGGUGUUGAGGGGGAGAGUACAGAAUGGCGUCUCCCUUCCCUCUGGCAACAGGUGGGUCUCGUAGCUCUGAAAUAUUUAAUUUUUCUUUUAUUUAGAAGUGAAUAUUACUGUGUUCAUGUUUAUUAUUCAUGUCUCUAGUGAAGAUAUAGUGACUGUACGUGUUGACAGAAUGGCGUCUCCCUUCCCUCUGGCAACAGAUAAAAUAGCCGGUGUUUGUCCCACGUGGAGACAGGCCACAGAGUCUUGGGAAAGUGUUAGCCAUGUAAUGUUUCUUUAGUCAAAUAUAGUCUACUGUGAAUGUGUUGUGGGCAAUAUUGUUGCCGUAGAGAAGUGAUGGAUGAAGGCUGUGACGCUAUUUAGGGAUAUAACGGUGCCCAGAAUCAAUGGUACUCUUGAGGAGUUAUAAAAGUAAUUAUUUUCUUGUGUAUUCGUAGUGUUAAGUAACGGAAUGUAAGUGUAUAUGCCAUACCAGAAUUUCAAGUGUCAUAGUGGGUCAGUCAACCCAAAGAAUCCCAUCAGUAUUAUUCAUGUAAUUAUUUUUGCUAUUUUUAUAUUUUUCGUUCCUCAUAAUUAAGCCACACUGUAGGUACUGUGUGAUCAUUAACCUCUCCCUACCCUCUGGCCAUGACGAUGAAGGCGAGAACCAUUACCAAUCAAAAAUGUUUUCUUUUUUUCUAUUGUGUGUGCGUGCUUCACCUCUUCUCUCUUCCUCUUCUUUUUUCUUCUUCACCGUGAAGAUCUUUGCCUCGUCUCAUUAGAGCUCUGAUCGGACCGGUGAGGAGGAGGGAGGAGGGGGGAACCGGAGGAGGGGGGGGGUGGCGUUACAGUGGCAUUGUUGACAAGUCCUCAGGAGAACCACUGACCCUCGCCAAGGCCAAGAGGGAGGGAGUCCGAAUGCAGAAACUUCCAUUGGAUAGGUAUUUGGCAUGGGGGAUUGGCAAUAAGUGCCUUACACUCAACCAGAUCAUUAAUAUCAUGUUGGACUUUAAGAUGACAGGUGACUGGCCUCAUGCCUUCCGCCAUGUGCCUCGCAGAAAGCUCCAGUUACCUCCUUGGAACCAGCAAAUAAAGGAAGAAGCGUUACUAAAAAAGAUACAACGGAGACAGAGAAGUUCAAGAAACCACUAGUGGUCAUCAAAAGUGGUGAUAGUCAAUCUGGUUCCUUACUGCAUCCCAAAGUGCAUAAAUUGUUUUGAAGGGUAAGUACCUGGAAAUAAUGGAAUACAUGAAGGGUACAUGACAUGGUCAGUGUGUAUGGGUGAAUUGUACAAAAAGAUGUUUUAGGAAGAAUAUUGUCAUGUAAGAAAUUAAUUUAAAUCAAGAUUAAAGUAUUAAAUAUACUUUUAAAUGUAAAUGAGAAAUAUGAAAUGUAUGAACAUAUAA